rnacentral:piRNA from 2 species
UCCUUAGGUCGCUGGUUCGAAUCCGGCUCGAA